rnacentral:rRNA from 1 species
GACGGAGGAGGCAAGCGUUAUCCGGAAUUACUGGGCGUAAAGCGUGCGCAGGCGGUCUUUUAAGCCAGAUGUGAAAUCCCCGGGCUUAACCUGGGAACUGCGUUUGGAACUGGAAGGCUAGAGUACGGCAGAGGGGGGUGGAAUUCCACGUGUAGCAGUGAAAUGCGUAGAGAUGUGGAGGAACACCGAUGGCGAAGGCAGCCCCCUGGGCCUGUACUGACGCUCAUGCACGAAAGCGUGGGGAGCAAACAGG